rnacentral:rRNA from 1 species
AUUGAACGCUGGCGGCAGGCCUAACACAUGCCAGUCGAACGAGUGGCGGACGGGUGAGUAAUGUCUGGGAAACUGCCUGAUGGAGGGGGAUAACUACUGGAAACGGUAGCUAAUACCGCAUACCAUCGGAUGUGCCCAGAUGGGAUUAGGUAGUUGGUGAGGAAAAGGCUCACCAAGCCGACGAUAUCUAGCUGGUCUGAGAGGAUGACCAGCCACACUGGGACUGAGACACGGCCCAGACUCCUACGGGAGGCAGCAGUGGGGAAUCUUCCGCAAUGGAGGAAAGUCUGACGGAGCAACGCCGCGUGAGGGAUGGCGGCCUUCGGGUUGUAAAGGACUUUUGGCAGGGAAGCGGUACCUGAAGAAUAAGCACCGGCUAACUACGUGCCAGCAGCCGCGGUAAUAC